rnacentral:rRNA from 1 species
AGUGAACGCUGGCGGUAGGCCUAACACAUGCAAGUCGAACGGCAGCACAGUAAGAGCUUGCUCUUACGGUUGGCGAGUGGCGGACGGGUGAGGAAUACAUCGGAAUCUACUUUUUCGUGGGGGAUAACGUAGGGAAGCUUACGCUAAUACCGCAUACGACCUACGGGUGAAAGCAGGGGAUCUUCGGACCUUGCGCGAUUGAAUGAGCCGAUGUCGGAUUAGCUAGUUGGCGGGGUAAAGGCCCACCAAGGCGACGAUCCGUAGCUGGUCUGAGAGGAUGAUCAGCCACACUGGAACUGAGACACGGUCCAGACUCCUACGGGAGGCAGCAGUGGGGAAUAUUGGACAAUGGGCGCAAGCCUGAUCCAGCCAUACCGCGUGGGUGAAGAAGGCCUUCGGGUUGUAAAGCCCUUUUGUUGGGAAAGAAAAGCAGCAGGUUAAUACCCCGCUGUUCUGACGGUACCCAAAGAAUAAGCACCGGCUAACUUCGUG